AGUCCAUUUGACUUGUCUCUGCGUGGUCAGUGUCAUUUCCUGUUCUCUCUGACGGAGAUUCAGAGCUGCAGACUGAUCUGAAGAAGCCAGAACCUAAUCUUCCCCUUUAGAUUACUUUGCUGGUUCCUGGGGUGGGGUGGGUCCCUCGAGGUCAUGUACACUUUGGGAAGGCCAUGCACAGGAAAGUUGGAGGUGAAAUUAAUUGAAUUCCUGAAGUAUUUACCCUCCCAGAGACAGUGAGGUUGACUUUACAUUUGGAUUCCACGCGAUGCAUGUGAAGGUGUUUUCCCGACUCAUUUUCUGCCAUUACCCAGAAGUAGUUAUAACUAAUCCCAGUGAUGGCAUCAUCAAAGAAGGGCAAUGGUUCACUCUGAAGUGUUGGUACAGGAACACAUAUAUAAAAGCUUCCUGGUAUAAAAACAACAAUUAUGAGGCUAUAUCUAGUGAAUUUAAUAAAAGAGCUGACAGAAAAACUGGAGGCUCUUACCUGUGUCAAAGAUUCUACUUAGUGAGUCGCUCCUCAAGAAGUAAACCGUUGGAAGUGGCGACUAUUGCUGCUGACGUCCUAUGAAUACUCUGAAACUACUCGUCACCUGAAGAGACUAAUUAUUUGAGACUCCACUCAAAGCAUUUGUAUGAUCUUUUGAUCUUUCUGCCUAUAAAUUCUAUGUCUAUGCCUCUCCAUCGCUUCACCUAACAAAAGGGUAGUGUGACAAAAUCUUGUGAUAUCAAAUAAACUAAUUGGACUAUAACCUGGUGUUGUGCAACUUCUCAAAUGUACAAAGUAUUGGGAUUUCUGCAUCCGGAGUACUGUAUAGUCCUUUGGUCCCCUGACAUGAGGAGGAAAGCAGUUGCAUUGGAGAGAGUUCACAGCAAUUUCACUGGAUUGAUGGCCAAAAUGAAAUGUGAGCUUUGUCAGGAGAGACUGGGAGAAUUUUGGUCUCUUUACAUGAAGGCGGUUGUAGUUGUAUUGGAGGCCGUUCAAAGGAGAUUCACUCAGUCAUUUCCAAAAAUGACUGGUUUGCCUUAGAAGAGAGAUUGAACAGUUUCUCUGCAGUUUAGAAGAAUGAGAAGAGAUUAAACUGACGGAUAGAAGAUGCUGAAGGGGAGAAUUGACAAAAUAGAUGGAGAGAGGAUCUUUCUUCAUGUGGGGCAAUCGAGAACAAGAGAGUCAUUGCUUCAGGAGAAAGUGGUGGGGCAGAUCAAAAGCAGAAGUGAAAACAAAUGGCUUCUCUCAAAAGGGGUAGAAGAUUGUGAAUCGUUGUGGCAAGUGGAAUUGAAACUUGCCUGGGCAACAAUCUGAAAAUACUUCCUUCCAAGCGAGGUGAUGGGAAAUCGAGCUGAGGACAUGACUGAAGACAGACGCACAAGAGAUUUCAAUUAUGCAGAGAUUGGGCCAAGUCAACUGAAUGGUGAGUGUGUGAAUCUGUGAGCUACCGAUCCUACAAUAUCAUGUACUGGUCAUUGUUCGAACUGGUAUUCAUCCGAUUGGGAAGACCGACAGAAACAAAUCUUUUUUCUGUAAGUGAUGGAGCGAAGUGUGGGUUGUUUUCUUUACAGCAGAGAAGAUUGUUGAGGAAGACGGAAAUGACAGAGGUAUGUAAAAUGGGUAGUUUUGUAGAACAGAGACCGAUGGGUUGAGGCACAUAAUUCUUUGGAGAUUGAGUCACAGGUCGACAGGGUGGUUAAGAAUUCAUUGAGCACUCUUGCCUUCGUUGCUCAGACCAUUGUGUAUAGGAGUUCCGACAUUAUGUUGUGGUUGUACACAAUGUUGUUCAGGCCUCUUCUGGAGUACUGUGUCCAGUUCUGGUUGUCCUGUUCCAGGAAGGAUAUUGUUAAUCUGGAGAGGGUUCAGAGAAGAUGCAUCAGGAUGUUGGUGGGAAUGGAAGGGUGAGUUAAAAGGAGAGAUGGAUUAGGCUGGGACUAUAUUCACCACAGUAUAGGAGGGUGACGGGUGACCUGACACAGGUUCAUAAAAUAACAAGGCUAUGUAUAAGGAGAAUGGCAGAUAUCUUUUCUCCAGGUUGGGCAGUUUAAAACGUGGGUUCUUCUUAAAGCGAGAGGACAAAGAUUAAAAAAAAAGUCAUAAGGGGCAAUUUUUGUUUUACACAGAGAACAGUUCAUGGAGGGAAUGAACUUCCAAAGGAUGUGGUGGAUGUUGGUACAGUUACAGCAUUUAAAAGACAUUUGGAAAAGUACAUGAAUUGGAAAGGUUUGGAGGGAUAUGGGCCAAACACAGGCAGGUGUGACUAGUUUAGUUUAGGAACAUGGUCAGCAUGGACGAGUUGGACUGAAGGUUGGUUUCACUGACUCUCUUAUGAAGGGCAUGGGCGAGGGUGAUAGGAAUCAGCUGAUCCCCUCAGUUGAAGGGUCAAUGACAAAAGAAGAGGGGCCAACAUUUUAAGGUGAAUGGUAAGAGGCGUAGAAGGGGAUUUGAGGACUGUUUGCCCCAGAAGGUGGUGAGGAUCUGGAGUGUAUGAAAAUAAAACAUCUGGAAGUAUUUCAAAUCUGUAAUUGUGCCAGUGCAUGAAAAUGACACUUCGUAACUGCAGAUUCUUCCUGAUUUAUGAAUGUUGAACAUUCGUACAAAAAAAAAGUCAGGACUGGGCCAUUGAUUUCCUUGAGAAUGGUCUGCCAUAUACCAUCCUUUGGUGUUUAUCCGCUAAAUACAUUAGCUGAACAAAAGAAUUCCCUCUCUCUCUCUCAGAUUGAAAAUUAACAACCGAUCCAGCAUCUGCUGUUGUUUGUGGGAGCAAGUUCCAAACCUCUCCCACCCUUUGUGUGUGGAAGUGCUUCCUGACAUCUUUCCUGAACAGUCUGGCCCUAAUUCUCAGGCUACACCGUCCGUAGGUCCAGAAACCCCAGCCAGUGGAAAUAGAUUCUAUUUAUCCACCCUGUCUUUUCCUAUUAAUAUAUUCAAUCAGGUCACCCCUUAAACUUGAAAUUUGACAGAAAACAGGCUCAUUUGUCUAAUCUCGCCUCAUGACUUAACCCCUCAAGUCCAGGUAUCAUUCUUGUCAACCUACAUUGUGCUCCCUCCAAGGCCAAUCUGUCCUUGCUGGUGUGGUGCCCAGACCUGCUCCAAGUGGGGUCUAACCAGAGUU